rnacentral:rRNA from 1 species
UCGAGAAUUUUUCUCAAUGGGGGAAACCCUGAAGGAGCGACGCCGCGUGGAGGAUGAAGGUCUUCGGAUUGUAAACUCCUGUCAUGAGAGAGUAAGGUGCAGCGUUAACUGCGUGUGCAUUUGAUAGUAUCUCAAGAGGAAGGGACGGCUAACUCUGUGCCAGCAGCCGCGGUAAUACAGAGGUCCCGAGCGUUGUUCGGAUUCAUUGGGCGUAAAGGGUGCGUAGGCGGCAUGGUAAGUCAGAUGUGAAAUUUUGGGGCUCAACCCCGAAACUGCAUUUGAUACUGCCGUGCUGGAGUGCUGGAGAGGAGACUGGAAUUCACGGUGUAGCAGUGAAAUGCGUAGAUAUCGUGAGGAAGGCCAGUGGCGAAGGCGAGUCUCUGGACAGCAACUGACGCUGAGGCACGAAGGCUAGGGGAGCAAACGGG